UAUGUUUUAUCUCUUUUGUUAAAAUAUAUAUGUGACCUUCCUUCCUUCCUUCCUUUCUUCCUUCCUUUCUUCCUUCCUUCCUUCCUUCCUUCCUUCCUUCCUUCCUUCCUUCCUUCCUUCUUUCUGUCUUUCACUCAGGCUGGAAUACAGUAGUGUGAUCAUAAUUUAUUCAGCCUCGAACUUGUGGUCUCAAGCAAUCAUCCUGCCUCAGCCUUUGACUAACUGGGACUACAGAUGUGUACCACCAUACCAUGUGACAAUAUUGACAUGGUCCCUGUCACCAUCCACCUCGACUUCAUGUAUCUUCUGCUUCUACCCGUGUAACAAGUACAUGUCUCUCAAAACAGAAUUUUGGCUUUUCCAGAUUGGCAAAUACCUCUUAGUUAAAUGUGGCUUUCAAGUAUGUGUUUACUCCUUUAUGUUUCAAUUUUCCUUCAAUUUUGGCCUGGAGAGUGUCUCAACUAAGAAGCUAAAAAGGGAAAGAAAAGAAAAGCAAUUAUGUUUUUUUCCCCUGCGGCCUAUACAAACACAUACACACCAAGGUAGUAAACGCAUAGUGGAAAAAAAAAGGUCAGAGGUCCGGGCGCAGUGGCUCACGCCUGUAAUCCCAGCACUUUGGGAGGCCGAAGCGGGCAGAUCACGAAGUGAGGAGAUCGAGACCAUCCCAGCUAACACGGUGAAACCCCCGUCUCCACUAAAAACACAAAAAAUUAGCUGGGCGAGAUGGCGGGCGCCUGUAGUCCCAGCUACUGGGGAGGCUGAGGCAGGAGAAUGGCGUAAACCCGGGAGGCGGAGCUUGCAGUGAGCCGGGAUCCGGCCACUGCACUCCAGCCUGGGCGACAGAGCGAGACUCCGUCUCAAAAAAAAAAAAAGAAAGAAAAAGAAAAAAAUGGUUAGAGAUAUCUUGUCAGAGGUUUUUUUUUCCUUUUCUAUUUGGGCUUAAUUUCACAGGUCAUGAAUAAUGGACUAUUGAUCUACUAUGAUGCUCCCUUAACUCUAACCCACUGGGUUCUUUCUGCUGUCUUUGGCAACAACACUUUUGCCUAGGAGAUCUAUUAUGGAGUUGGGGAUUGGUUCUGUCUUUCUCAUGACCGCCUUCAUGCAUUUAAUCUUAAUGGUGUCCUUCCUGGUAUUCAGAACUUUUGAUUUUUUUAUUUGGCAAUAGAUGGCAAAUGACAUGGAAUGAAAAGCAGAGACAGAACUUUCAGUCUUGAAUUCAGUAUAGUUUCUAUAUGAUUUCACUAAUAUGCUGUCAAUUUCAGGCACUUCUGGUAGUAAAAUAGAAAUUGUCUUCCAUGGUCACUGGGGUAUUGUGGAAGACAUAGCUGUUGGUAUUUGAAGAGCAGUCGCAGGAAGGUGGAGUCCAAGUCAGGUUCUAACAGCCUGUCCUGGGGAAAAUAGCCUAGUCUUUUAAAAUUUAAUGGUUAAGAGCAAGACUAAAAAAAAAAGUAAGUGUAGAUAAAUAGCUUUUGCUCACUGCUACUACUAAUUCAAAUGGCUUUUUCCAGGAAUCCAUUCAACUCCCAGAUCUGUUGUUUUUCACAAUAUAUUAAGUUUGUUAUUUCUACAGCCCCAAAUAAAAUAAAUAACAAUUACUCUUCCGUGUCAGGUUUUUCUGAGUCAGAAUCCAGGGUUUGAAAUCCAUUUAUAUUUUUUUCUGGUAUUAGUAGAUUUUCUUUUGAAUUAUGAGAUCGCAUCCCAUAGUAUGGAUAUACCUCCAUUUAUUUGUUCCUGCGGAUAUGUGUUUCCUGUUUCAGGCAG
rnacentral:lncRNA from 1 species